UACGUAGGGGGCUAGCGUUGUCCGGAUUUAUUGGGCGUAAAGAGCUCGUAGGCGGUCUGUCGCGUCUGCUGUGAAAACCUGGGGCUUAACCCCGGGCCUGCAGUGGGUACGGGCAGACUAGAGUGUGGUAGGGGAGACUGGAAUUCCUGGUGUAGCGGUGAAAUGCGCAGAUAUCAGGAGGAACACCGGUGGCGAAGGCGGGUCUCUGGGCCAUAACUGACGCUGAGGAGCGAAAGCGUGGGGAGCGAACAGG
rnacentral:rRNA from 1 species